GAAGGGCGGAGGGCCCGGCCUCCACAGCCAUGAGGUGGGGUGGUGGUGGCAGAGGGGCAGCAAGGUGAAGUGGGCGGAGGGGCUCUGUUACUCAAGGUUAGCCAGUCUGGAAGGGGAUGGCGCGUGUCUUGGGGCCAUUACAGCAUUCCUCACUGGCGGCUUGCCAAUUGGACGUGAACCUCACCGGUGUGUAAGGCCCCCCAAUAUGAGGACGAGGGCUUGAAGGGGAGGGUAGA